rnacentral:rRNA from 1 species
UACGGGGGGGGCAAGCGUUGUUCGGAAUUACUGGGCGUAAAGGGCUCGUAGGUGGCCAACUAAGUCAUACGUGAAAUCCCUCGGCUUAACCGGGGAACUGCGUCUGAUACUGGUUGGCUUGAGUUUGGGAGAGGGACGCGGAAUUCCAGGUGUAGCGGUGAAAUGCGUAGAUAUCUGGAGGAACACCGGUGGCGAAGGCGGCGUCCUGGACCAAUACUGACACUGAGGAGCGAAAGCAUGGGGAGCGAAUGGG